GACGAACGCUGGCGGCGUGCUUAACACAUGCGAGUCGAACAGGCCUGUCUUCUUUUUUGGGGGGUGGGUUGAGUGGCGAACGGGUGAGUAUCACGUGAGUAACCUGCCCUUCGGUCCUGGAUAACCGCUUGAAAGGGCGGCUAAUACGGGGUGGUCCGGUUGGUCCGCAUGGGCUGGUCGGGAUAGAUUCACUGUUUUUGGUGUUUCGGCGGGGGAUGGGCUCGCGGCCUAUCAGCUUGUUGGUGGGGUGAUGGCCUACCAAGGCGGUGACGGGUAGCCGGCCUGAGAGGGUGGGCGGCCACACUGGGACUGAGAUACGGCCCAGACUCCUGCGGGAGGCAGCAGUGGGGGGUAUUGCACAAUGGGCGGAAGCCUGAUGCAGCGACGUCGCGUGAGGGAUGGAGGCCUUCGGGUUGUGAACCUCUGUUUCCGGUGGUGAAGGCCCUGUCCGUGUGGUGGGGUUGACGUAGCCGGGGAUAAGCGCC
rnacentral:rRNA from 1 species